rnacentral:rRNA from 1 species
GACGAACCGUGCGAACGUUGUUCGGAUUCACUGGGCUUAAAGGGCGCGUAGGCGGGUUGUCAAGUCAGGGGUGAAAGCCUCCAGCUCAACUGGAGAAGUGCCUUUGAUACUGAUGAUCUUGAGGGAGGUAGGGGCAUGUGGAACUUCCGGUGGAGCGGUGAAAUGCGUAGAUAUCGGAAGGAACGCCGGUGGCGAAAGCGACGUGCUGGACCUCUUCUGACGCUGAGGCGCGAAAGCUAGGGGAGCGAACGGG